rnacentral:rRNA from 1 species
AUGGCGAAAGCCUCGGCUCUUAAGUUUAGUAUAACAUUGGCGCAAAGGGCGGGAUGUAAUCGCCUUAUUAUUAACACGGACAACCUGGAGGUGAUUGAUACCAUGAAGAACGGAGGACACUCGGCGGCGGCAAUUUUUGACGAUUGUUUUCAUUAUGCUUGUGACUUCGUUGCUACUAGAUUCGAACACUGUAACGGAGAAGCAAAUAAAGUAGCUCAUGAGCUUGCGAGUUUAGCUAGAUUUUCGUUGAUUUCUGAUUGGUUUGAGGAACCUUUAAAUAAAAUUAUAAUGAUCCUCACAAAUGAUGUACUUUUUAUCUCUGAAUAA